GCUCCUGUGGACGAAUGGGAUGUCGCUCAUAUACCCUCGCAGACCCAGGUCAUUUGAAGCGAGAGGCGGAGGUUCGAAUCCUCCUAGGGACG